GGAGAGAUAGCCAAGUGGUCAAAGGCAGCAGACUGUAAAUCUGCCCGCGCGAGCGUUCGCAGGUUCGAAUCCUGCUCUCUCCA
rnacentral:tRNA from 1 species